GUGUAGCUCUGUGGUAGAGUGCUUACCUAAUAUGCACAAGGUCCUCGGUUCAACCCCUAGUACCACA
rnacentral:tRNA from 1 species